GCGUUCACAUAUACAUAAAGCUCCUCCUGGAAAUAUCAGGAGUCUUUCAGGAGAUUUCUGCAAGUUUGAAAGCUCUUUAUGUCGACUUUUAACAGUCAUGGACGUGAUCUCAGUGACGUCAUCCAUUGGAUUCAAAACGAUGGCAAUGGCCAUAUUGGAAAUGCUGUCUAAGCUAACUUUUGGCCGGGGCUAACGGGCACCUUUACUCUCCUGACAAACGACCACAGCGUGCCAACCUGUAAGUCAACUUAGCCACACCCCUAAUUUGAAUAACUCUUAUCCUUAAUAUAUCCAAAGUAAAUGCAAAUCUCCCCAAGUGCUUAACAUGACAUGUUUAUUUUCUGCUGUAAAAGGGGUGUUUUUACAUGAGGGGGGUUUAAUAAUACUGUGAAAAAUCAUGGAUGAAGCCUGGAGAAGCACCACACUUUGUUUCUGAACGGGUCUUUGGAAUCUGAUUGAUGGCGGUCGCCACGCUGGAAAUGCUGUCUCAACCUAACGACAGGCUAAGAGCUGAGGCGGGUUUUAAGCCUGCCGACGAACAGCUGCAACGCCCCCCCGUCUGUCAAUCAGUUACAUGUAGUCUUACACUGACCUGAACCACUGCAUGAUGUCAACUGUCAGGUCCUUCAAAGAAAAAAGCUCAUCUCUAAGGCACAAGAGAAACCUUUCAUCUGAUCGACACAUGGAUUUCAGGAUGGAGAGGGAGGAGGAGGACAGCAUCGGGGCAGAUGAUUGGACCCAGGCAUCAAACAGAGGAAAGGGGCCUGGUCGAGUCUCCCUACAUCCCAGAAGUUUGCUGGAGUUGGGAUCUAAACAUCAUUGAGUGACGGCACAUUCAUCAUCAUGUAUCUUUAAUCAUGAAACAUUUAAAAUAAUGAAUGAUUUUUUUUAAAUCUUUCUGUUCAAGCUGUUUAUACCAGAUGACACGCUGGCUGGCUUCUACCUUUAACAUCAGAUGCAACAACUGUUUUGUUGUUGUUGUGUUUUGAUUAAUGUGAAAGAAAAGCAUUUAUUGGAUCUUGUUACAUUUAUGUACAAACUUUUCAGUCUGCAUUUACAAACUGUCUGUCUUGGGUGAACCUCACUGCAUUUGUGUUUGGGAAUUUUGAGACUCCCCUGUCGUGAUUCAAAUUCACAAAUACAUUUUUUUCAGCAGAGAAAUGUCUGCAGCCAAUCAGAUGUCUCCUUCCUAUUAGUGCUGGGCGAUAUAUCAUGAAGCUCGAUUCGAUCGAUAUUUAAUUAAUGCUUGAUAUGGAAAAGGGAACAUCGAUUUUAUUUUUAAACUACUUCCAAGUUUUCUUUCUUGCUUCUUUUGUCGAAGAUUUCGUUGCUCCGUGAGAUUUCCGCAGCAGCGCUUGUUGCGCGGAGACGAAAGGGCGGAGGAGACUUCACUCCUGCCGCUGAGUAGCCCAGCUCUUAAAAGCGACCAACACGGAGGAGAAAGAUGCGAGCGAGGCCGAAUUACUUCCAAAAAAAGGCUCAUAACGCAGGGCUCGACAUUAUAAUUGGCCCGCUGGCCCGGAUGAAUGAUUGACAGAGUCCAGCUGAUUGCACGUUCAGCUGGCGGCUUCACUGCGUUUGGUAAAACGGUUUUAAAACCAUCAGAUCCCGACAAAAGCCGAGUUUAAAUCAGCAUUCAAGGAAUAGAAAUCACCGGAAAAGUCGAGAGUGACAGCAGGGCGAAAACAGAACGGAGAAAAGUUAGAUCCACAGUGACAGACAGCUGGAGGA